CGUUGUUCGGUGUCACUGGGCUUAAAGGGUGCGUAGGUGGUUUCGUAAGUACGGUGUGAAAGCCCUCGGCUUACCCGGGGAAUUGCGCCUUAUACUGCGAGACUUGAGGAUUUCAGGGGAAUGGGGAACUCCAGGUGUAGCGGUGAAAUGCGCAGAUAUCUGGGGGAAGGCCGGCGGCGAAGGCGCCAUUCUGGGAAAUUCCUGACACUGAGGCACGAAAGCGUGGGGAGCAAACAGG
rnacentral:rRNA from 1 species